GACUUUUAUCAAACAGGUUUUAGCCACAGGGACAGAGAGGAAGGAGAGGAAGGAGAGAGUUAUAUAGAGUUAGCGAGCCAGUGAGACGAGAUAGAUUGUUUUGAAUUUUAGGGAUUUAUUAAUUUCCCACUCCAAGCGGAUAUUUGAAAUUUUCGCGCCAAAAUGGUGAAGGAGCCUGUUUGCUUUUUCUUCUUCAAUGGAGUCAAUGUGUUGUGCGCUGGAUGAGUACAGGAGCUGUGGG
rnacentral:misc_RNA from 1 species